rnacentral:rRNA from 1 species
GACGAACGCUGGCGGCGUGCUUAACACAUGCAAGUCGAACGGAAAGGCCCUGCUUUUGUGGGGUGCUCGAGUGGCGAACGGGUGAGUAACACGUGAGUAACCUGCCCUUGCCUUUGGGAUAACUUCAGGAAACUGGGGCUAAUACCGGAUAGGAGCUCCGGCUGCAUGGUGGGGUUUGGAAAGUUUCGGCGGUUGGGGAUGGACUCGCGGCUUAUCAGCUUGUUGGUGGGGUAGUGGCUUACCAAGGCUUUGACGGGUAGCCGGCCUGAGAGGGUGACCGGCCACAUUGGGACUGAGAUACGGCCCAGACUCCUACGGGAGGCAGCAGUGGGGAAUAUUGCACAAUGGGCGGAAGCCUGAUGCAGCAACGCCGCGUGCGGGAUGACGGCCUUCGGGUUGUAAACCGCUUUCGCCUGUGACGAAGCGUGAGUGACGGUAAUGGGUAAAGAAGCACCGGCUAACUACGUG